AGGACAGGGAUUCUUGCUAACUCAUUGUUCGUGAGUAAUGAGUUCAAAAACCAGUUUGAAAUCAUUAACUCUUCAAACGCAGCUUAAGGAAACCAAUGAUGCGCCGGUAAAUAUGAUCAACCGUGAAUUAUCCAUGAGCUGCUUUACACAAGCCUUACGCGUUAAUAUUACCGCCAUGACGCCAUCUUGCAUGUUUGUGCCGGAAGUGCAGCACGGGACGCGGCGGACGCAGUGAAUUGGAGGCUGGAGCGACUGCUGGACGGUGCCAUGGAGGCCACUUUCUCAGAGAGGCGACACCUCAUCGUCAAGAGGAAAAUCCCGAUGGCCACCAUCUGUCGUCGAUGAAAACAAAGUCUGGAAAGAGCUGAGUCGGAUAAAAAAUGCCGACUUGCAGGACACCAACGAGUUGGAACUCUCCCGGGAAGCCAUGACCCCGAUUGUGGCCAAUGGCGAAGGUGAAAGAGCAGCUGGAUGCCUCACAGAUGACGAUGCGAUCGACCAUCUUCUCUGCACCGUGCUAAAGAGCACCAAGUUGUGUUCACAUCGGCGCCGCAGCCACGGCCUCAUGUGGCGGACGACUUCCACGCCAUAGAGGGCGUGCCAGCAGUGCAGUUUAAGGAGCAAACGGCAAAGGUGAACAAGCUGCUGACGUGGGGGGCCGCGUUCACAGUGUUUGCGCAGUCGUUCAACCGCCCAGCCAUCCGUCUGGCCGGCUACCUGAUGUGUGCCGUGAUCCUGAAGACCGAUGUGUCGCCGCCUCCAAAGCAGUGGGCGGCGAUGACCGGCUGCGUUUAGGAGUGCACGGGGAGGGACAUGAGGCAGCACUUUAGGGACUUUCUGUCUCUUUUUGUGUUUGUGUUUCUGCCGGGUAGUUUUGCAAAGAAAUGGCGUUAAAGCUUUUUCAUGCGUGUAGGCCAAGUUCAUGUCUGGAAGGGCAUGAGCGUCGUGCUGUGUUCAUCACCCUUGUUCAUAGAUCAAUGAUGUAAUAGUCGUGGUUUAUCUGCAUGCUAUGCAUUGUUUUAAUAAACCUUAUGUUUUAAUGUUAUGACUCUCAUCUCAUGGGUGAGGCUGACCGCCAGGGGAUGAGUCGACAGAGUGGAAAAACCGGCGGCAGAGCGAUCUAAUAGGUGUGUUCACUUGACCAUCAUGUUAUGAGUUACAUUUAACUCGCGUAUCAAUCGUUGCAUGGCAUGAGUUACUAGCAAUGCUUGAAUUCGUCACAAACGGUAAACUCAUGUGGUAUGAGUGAGGGAACGAGAGUUAACCCGCAACUCAUUGGUGAUGUGACCGCUACAGGGCUAGUAACAUUUACUAGCGCCUCAUGUAGUCAAACGUGUGGUGUCUUCAUUAACGGUGUAAUAUGAGUAAGCCUAUACUCGCAUA